rnacentral:rRNA from 1 species
AGAGUUUGAUCAUGGCUCAGAACGAACGCUGGCGGCGUGCUUAACACAUGCAAGUCGAACGAGAAGUACGUAGCAAUACGUAUUGUAAAGUGGCGCACGGGUGAGUAACACGUGGGUAAUCUGCCCUUGAGUUUGGGAUAACCCCGCGAAAGSSGGGCUAAUACCGAAUAAGACCACGGGGACCAAAGUCCCUGAGGUAAAAGGUGGCCUCUAUUUAUAAGCUACCACUUGAGGAUGAGCCCGCGGCCCAUUAGCUAGUUGGCGGGGUAAUGGCCCACCAAGGCUAUGAUGGGUAGCUGGUCUGAGAGGACGAUCAGCCACACUGGAACUGARACACGGUCCAGACUCCUACGGGAGGCAGCAGUGGGGAAUUUUGCGCAAUGGGCGAAAGCCUGACGCAGCAACGCCGCGUGAGUGAUGAAGGCUUUCGGGUCGUAAAGCUCUGUCGAGGGGAAAGAAGUGUAUUGUGGUUAAUACCCGCGAUACUUGACGGUACCCCUAAAGGAAGCACCGGCUAACUCCGUGCCAGCCGCCGCGGUAAUACA